rnacentral:lncRNA from 1 species
GUUUAUCAUCAUAGUUGGCGAGGCAACCAGUUGAAGAUUGAUAAUAUCGUGUGCCAAUUCUAAAGUGCAUCCGACCCGCUAGCAGCUUCCACUCUCAUUUUAUAGUAGCAUAUAUAGGUAUUUAAGUAGCCCCUAAGAAGCUCACUUACAAGAUCUAGGUUUAUCUGAAAUUGUUCCUUGACCAUUUUCCUUUUGGCCCAAUAGACUGAAUUAGGCUAGAGUCUAUUUUGAUGUACGUUUGACAAAACAGGACAAGACCAUGAUUUGUUUUGCUUCCUCAAAAAUCAACGUCUUCAUAGGUUCCACACGACACGUGUAACUAGCAACCGCAGAAUUGUAAUUAUGAGCUAUUUUUUAGUGUUUAAAAAUUUGACCUAG